rnacentral:rRNA from 1 species
UACGAAGGGGGCUAGCGUUGUUCGGAAUUACUGGGCGUAAAGCGUGCGCAGGCGGCUUCUCAAGUCAGGGGUGAAAGCCCAGAGCUCAACUCUGGAAUUGCCUUUGAGACUGAGUGGCUUGAGUACGAGAGAGGUGAGUGGAAUUCCCAGUGUAGAGGUGAAAUUCGUAGAUAUUGGGAGGAACACCGGUGGCGAAGGCGGCUCACUGGCUCGUAACUGACGCUCAUGCACGACAGCGUGGGGAUCAAACAGG